UACGAAGGGCCCGAGCGUUGCGCGGAAUCACUGGGCUUAAAGGGUGCGCAGGCGGAAGCAUAAGUGUCUUGUGAAAGGCCGCGGCUCAACCACGGCAUUGCAGGGCAUACUAUGCUUCUUGAGGCCGGUAGGGGCUGUCGGAACUCUAGGUGUAGCGGUGAAAUGCGUAGAUAUCUAGAGGAACACCGAAGGCGAAGGCAGACAGCUGGGCCGGUACUGACGCUGAGGCACGAAAGCGUGGGGAGCGAACAGG
rnacentral:misc_RNA from 1 species